rnacentral:rRNA from 1 species
UAGGCUCUCGUUGGUGACCAGCGGAGGGACAUUACCGAGUUUACAACUCCCAAACCCCUGUGAACAUACCAAUUGUUGCCUCGGCGGAUCAGCCCGCUCCCGGUAAAACGGGACGGCCCGCCAGAGGACCCCUAAACUCUGUUUCUAUAUGUAACUUCUGAGUAAAACCAUAAAUAAAUCAAAACUUUCAACAACGGAUCUCUUGGUUCUGGCAUCGAUGAAGAACGCAGCAAAAUGCGAUAAGUAAUGUGAAUUGCAGAAUUCAGUGAAUCAUCGAAUCUUUGAACGCACAUUGCGCCCGCCAGUAUUCUGGCGGGCAUGCCUGUUCGAGCGUCAUUUCAACCCUCAAGCCCCCGGGUUUGGUGUUGGGGAUCGGCGAGCCCUUGCGGCAAGCCGGCCCCGAAAUCUAGUGGCGGUCUCGCUGCAGCUUCCAUUGCGUAGUAGUAAAACCCUCGCAACUGGUACGCGGCGCGGCCAAGCCGUUAAACCCCCAACUUCUGAAUGUUGACCUCGGAUCAGGUAGGAAUACCCGCUGAACUUAA